UGAGGAAUAUUGGUCAAUGGGCGAGAGCCUGAACCAGCCAAGUCGCGUGAGGGAAGAAUGGUCUAUGGCCUGUAAACCUCUUUUGUCAGGGAAGAAUAAGGAUGACGAGUCAUUCGAUGCCAGUACUUGACGAAUAAGCAUCGGCUAACUCCGUGCCAGCAGCCGCGGUAAUACGGGGGAUGCGAGCGUUAUCCGGAUUUAUUGGGUUUAAAGGGCGCGUAGGCGGGACGUCAAGUCAGCGGUAAAAGACUGCAGCUAAACUGUAGCACGCCGUUGAAACUGGCGCCCUGGAGACGAGACGAGGGAGGCGGAACAAGUGAAGUAGCGGUGAAAUGCAUAGAUAUCACUUGGAACCCCGAUAGCGAAGGCAGCUUCCCAGGCUCGUUCUGACGCUGAUGCG
rnacentral:rRNA from 1 species